rnacentral:rRNA from 1 species
UACGGGGGGAGCAAGCGUUGUUCGGAUUUACUGGGCGUAAAGGGCGCGUAGGCGGUCAGCACAAGUCAGUUGUGAAAUCUCCGAGCUUAACUCGGAAAGGUCAACUGAUACUGUGCGGCUAGAGUGCGGAAGGGGCAACUGGAAUUCUUGGUGUAGCGGUGAAAUGCGUAGAUAUCAGGAGGAACACCGGUGGCGAAGGCGGGUCUCUGGGCCGAAACUGACGCUGAGGAGCGAAAGCGUGGGGAGCAAACAGG